ensembl:lncRNA
UAGCAUGACGCCCCAGGCAGCUUGGGAGAAGGACACAGAGAUCAUUUGUCUAAAAUUUUAAUGAAAACUUUUGCUGAGGCAGAGAUUUUUUUUCUUUCUCUUCAGUCUCAACCCCCCCUCCCCGUACAGUCUUCACUACACCCCGGUGCCACCUCCCGUCUUCUCUUUCCCCCAUGGUGAAUUAACGCAGCUCGAUUUAAAAUUAGAUGACACAUCGCAAAUCGCUGCAUGCCAGGAUGCAAUAACAUGUAAAUUUCAAUUUGCAGGCUCUAAUAGAAGUGUGUGUCGUGGCCGUGCUGAAUAGGGAGGCUGCUGUGGUGGGCUGGGACAUGCCGUCUUCUACUCAUUGUGUGCGUGUCAAAGCCCAAGCUGGCCAGAGACUUCAUCUUGCACCAGAGUUUUUUCAUUCGGAUUGCUCUUCGACCAGCUCAGCGUGGGUUCAGAAUGAGGACGAAUCUGUGGAAAGGAAAACUGUGUGUGGACUGUGCACAGCCUUUGUCACGGGGCCGCAGUGUUCGGUUUGCUGAAAUACUCCAUGAUGUGGUUGCAACAGAAACCAGAAUUGUUGAUGCCCCAGUCAUCAGUCUCAGCUGACCCUGCUAACCUGGCUGCAGGGCCCACACUAACCUUCACCCAACACCAUCCUUUGUAAUGCACUGCCACUUUGCAUCACUAUAAUGGACUCAAGGAUCUUCUGACUUCAGUUUGACCUUUUCCUCUUGUACAGUAGGUAUAGAAGCAACCUGGUUAGGUGCUGAAGAUUUGUCUUGUUUUUGUUUUCAGAUUCAGAUGAGUAUAGCAGUCUUAGGCCAUGCAUUUUAGCAGUCUUUGUAGGUUCAGGUAAAGCAUAAAUUAUAUACUUUCCAUGAAUGUGGUGCAAAAUAAGGCUUGAAAGUUUUAUUUUUCUAUGACAGUAAAUAUAUUACAUAGGCCUAUAUACUUUUUUAAAAAACUUCAUAUUAGGCUUUUAGGCAAAUUUUUUGACUUGUCUAAAUUAAACUGAAUAAACAUCAAAAAUACAACAAAAAAAAAAACAUCCAAAGUAAAAUAUUAAAUAAAAUGUAAAAUAAAAUACCAGACUGGGUAACACUGUAUGAAGUAAUUAAAAAAAAAAUGUUUUAAAAAGAAGUCUAUAUGCUCUCCAAGGCAACAUUUGUUUGGUCAAAAGAGACAGUAAAAACAGUAAUAUAGUGAAAAUAUUGUUCAUAUUUACAAUAACUCUUUUCCAUUUUAUUGUAUUUUAAAGUGAAAAUGAAUUUAAUGAAUUUUCAGCAGCCAUUACUCCAGUCAUCAAUAAUAUUAAUAAUGCUGCUUAAUAUUGUUAUUGCAAUCUUGUUACCAAAAUUUGUUACAUGUGUAAAGCCAGUAUACAAAUAUGAUUUGUAAUUUUCUAGCAGUAAACAUAAAAUAAACAAACAAACAAACAAACAACAACAACAAAAAAAAAAAAAAAACAUCUUAAAUAAAAUAUAAAACAAUAUGCGAAAAAAUAUUGGUACAAGCAGCAUUGUUGCUUAUUUAGCCU